rnacentral:misc_RNA from 1 species
CAAGAGGUCCCUAAUCUGGCUUAUUAAUCAAAUUAAAUAAAACCAAAUUCAAGUACUAGUUUUAAUGGAAUUGUUUAGACCGAGUUCCAAACACACAGUAGGGAGCUCCUUAUGUAUUCAACAGACCUAUGCAAUUCUUGAAUUUUGAUUGUCAGAAUAGGGUACAUUGUAAAUAAAACAAAAUUGCAGUAUGAGUAACAUCCAAAAUGCAAAAGUUUUGAAGAUUCUGCUGUCACCGGUUGGCAAGAUGAUUCCUUGGGUUAUGAAGAUCUUAAGAACACUGAAGGAUAUCACAUUGAUUACCAGUGUUCUUUUUGCACAAAUGUUUCGGACAAGAUCCCAGAUAAAUACUCACCCAUCAGUUAUCCUUUCCUGGUUUCUUCUCCGAAAACCUCAAAUUGGAUAUGGUUUGACAGAUCUUAAGCUGAAAAACUUCAGAAAAUUCCCUGAUAAAAGAUUUGUAAGUAAUAUCAAUCAACUGGAGAUCGUCAAGUUGAUGUAUAUCUACAUUUUCAUAUCCACUGCAAGAUCCAACUUCUUGUAGCAACCCCUUGAUGCUUCCAACCUUUCGGUUCCUAAUCCCACAAGGGACUAUCCAAUCAAAGGGUUUCAAAUUUGUGGUGACAUUCAGUGCCAAACCAUGAUAAGUUAUCCAGUGAGAAACUCUUAUCCCAAUUGCAGCCAGUUUCUGAUCCCCUGAAGCAGAAUUUUGAACAAAAUGAUCAGGAGAGAUUUACAUAUUCCUGUUUCUUCACACGCAUGCAGACAAUCACAUACAAAAUGAAUCCACUUGGGUCAAUUUCCAUAAAUAUAUAGAGUUUACAAGCAGUCAUUAGUCGUUAAUUUAUGGUUUUACAACAUCAAACUAUACUUGAUCAUACAAAGAUCAUUUUAAAGUUCCAGGUCCAGCAGACUAAGUUGCUACAACGAGGGGAUGAACAUGCAUGUAAAAGAAUCACAGACAAAGGACAAAGAACGUACCAACCCAAACUCCAGUUAAACCAUCAACACGUGAAGCCUCAAUUGCGAAGGUUGCGGAAAGAACACGAAUGACCACCUCCUCAAGUGCCCUGAGGUACCAAUGAAGAUCCAUCUUGUGAUUUCGAAGAUUGAUAAUUGGGUACAUAACUAGCUGGCCAGGCCCAUGAUAGGUAACUUCUCCUCCUCGUUCAGUUCGGUAAACAUCAUAAGGAGCAUCUCUUACGUCAAAAUUCAGGUAACCUACAGAACUACGGGUACCCAAUGUAUACACAGGUUGAUGCUGCAAAACGAUCAGCGUAUCCGGGCACUCUUCAUUCCUUUCAAUCAAUGUUCUUUUCUCUCUAACAAUGUCUUUUUGCCAAUUCCAUGCAUCCUCAUAUGGCACUAGUCUUUUGCACAAAUCAAACAGCUCGCACGUUCUCCUAUCAUCUCGAGUUAUUGGGGUGAAGUCAGAUGCUCUCUGAUUUGAAACUCGGUUCAAUGUGACAACAUCGUGCGAGUGUGGCCGGCGACCAUCAGUUGGCCAUGUUGGAAUGAAGCCAAAACUUGAAGUCGCUGUUGCAAAAAUCAUAACUCACCUCUGCAAUUUAGACAAGAAAAGAGAAUAGAAUCGCCCAUUAAUCACACAAGCCCAGUUCUCAAAUUCGAUUUUGAAGCUGCAGAAAAAGAUGAAAAGGAUUUUGAAGAGCGUUCAAAUAAUUUUUGACUUUGCUAUCUCUCCCUUGCCGCAGAGUCUGAGGCCAGCGCCCAGCGGAGAAACCAAAGCCGAUUCCAGAUGAUCUAGACCGUUGGAGGUAGAAACGACCCACAAUCCCACAAUCUGGACGGCCCCAGAUGCUACAGGAAACCCGUUUGCUUAUAGGGAUAGAUGAGACAUUAAAUAAAAAUCUCAAGAUAGUUUUUGAAUAAUU